rnacentral:rRNA from 1 species
GAUGAACGCUGGCGGCGUGCCUAAUACAUGCAAGUCGAGCGAACAGAUGAGGAGCUUGCUCCUCUGACGUUAGCGGCGGACGGGUGAGUAACACGUGGAUAACCUACCUAUAAGACUGGGAUAACUUCGGGAAACCGGAGCUAAUACCGGAUAAUAUAUUGAACCGCAUGGGUCAAUAGUGAAAGACGGCUUUGCUGUCACUUAUAGAUGGAUCUGGGCCGCAUUAGCUAGUUGGGAAGGUAACGGCUUACCAAGGCAACGAUGCGUAGCCGACCUGAGGGGGGGGUAGGCGACCCUGGAGCUGGGACAGCGACCAGACGCCUGCGGGAGGGAGCAGUAGGCAAUGUGACGCAAUGGGCGAAAGUCUGACGGAGUGACCGCGCGUGAGUUGUGGCAGUGCUCGGUUCGGAAAAACGUGUUAUUGGGGGAAAACCGAUGUGUCCGGAAACAAGGCGGGCGUGACGGUAACUAGUCAGAAAGCAACGGCUAACUACGUG